GGAGACUACAGGUAGUUUGGAGUUAAUAGAGCUGAUCCUUCAUCAUCAGUGGUCCAGGAACUCUUCACAGAAGCUUGAUGUGACAACUGUUAUUUACAUUUCAUUGAACAGUUGUAGGGGCCACAUCUCUAUGAAGGAGAUCAGACCAAACCUAGAAUAUUUGGGUUUUAUGUCUCAGCCGAAAUGCAAAGUUGGACAUUGAGGCAAUAAUUAUCUGCUUCUCAUAAUGGAAGGGCCAUGUGAAUUUUAUGUCCCUGCAGGUGCAUUUUCUCAACUUUGUCAGUCAUUUGUUCUUUAUCAACCUGUGUGGUCAAAUAGUGAAAUGUGUAUAAUAUGUACAUAAGUGGGUGAAAUCCAGGUCCUUUUCCUCCUAAGAGUAGGAUAUGAACAGGUAGAGAAAGGAUAUGACUGAGAGCCACAAGAAUGAUGGUAGAGGAACACAGAGGACCCAGGGUAGCUGGUAUCCCAGGGGAUCCCAAGACAGGGAUUCAGGCAGGACUUCUAGGCAGAAGUGACAGUAGUGAGUGGUGAAAGGUGACCAGAAGCUAGUAUUCUGAAGUAGGAAUGUUGAGUUAUUUAGGCAAAAGAAUCUGAACUGGUAUUGUAUGUCAUCAUGCACCAAAACAUAUGUACAUAUAUGAUAACCCCAGGGAAGACCCCCCAGCAGUGCCUGCCAUAUUAAGAUGCAAUGCAGAGAAAGCAAGACACUUGGUUACUUAUUGGUUAAGAACCUUCAGAUGAUGAGUGACUAAAGAUUCAUCUCAAACAGGCUUAAGCAAAAUUAGAGUGGAUCAGCUUGUAUACUGGAGAAGCCCCAAUGAAGCCUUUAGGCCUCAAAAGGGUCCUAAGCUGGGGUUGCACCUGCUGGCCAUGGGACUUGGUUUCUCUUGGCUCUGUUGUUAGGUGGCUUAUUUCUGGGAUUGCACCUAGUGAACCAGGUCAGUCCAAUGCUCCAAGUCCAGCAGAAGCAGAGCUGCUCUUGCACAUAACCCAGGAUGUAGAGUAGCAUUAGGAACAGUCACAUCUUCAGCCUGGUGGUGACCAGACAAUUGGCUGAGACAUUUUGAACAUAAUUCAUCAGAUCAGAUCAUAGUCUCAUCCCCUAUUCACUGGAACUGGAGUCUCUCAGUGGGAUUUGGAGACUAGUGAUUAGAAGAAAAGGACCACAGAUAUCCUCAGGUAGGUCUGGAAGGAAUUUCUGUGGAUACUGACUGAAGAUGAUAAUGCCCAAACAGAUUAGAUAACUUAUGCAGUAUCCACAACUGGUGAGUGGCAAGCUUGCUUUGAGCCCUGGUUUCUCUAGCUGCAAAGCAUAUACUCUUGCUAGCCACUGCUGCCUCCCUAUGUUUCACCCUGGUACCCACUCAGACCUAUGGAUUGGUUGGUUAGAGCUCACCUGCUCGUACUCAGCCAGGGAAACCACAGGCUGAGCAAACUGCUAAUACAAUAUAGAUACUCAGUGCAUCGUUUUUGGGUAAAUGAAUGAUGAUUCUAUCCUUGAUUCAUUGUGGAAACUAGUUCAGGCUGAAGGGUUGAAAAUCGAGUUAGUUUGAUCUCCAUGAAGUCACAAGAGAAAACAGGAAAAGUGACUUGUCUAACUUUUUGAGAGAAGUGGCUGUCAUCUGACACUCUGAACUGUCUACAGUGACACCUCACCUUUCUGAAGUCCAUUUUGAGUGCAUUACUCAGCAAGGUCAUGGUAGAUGCUAUGAGGAGAUCUCAAACCAAUGGACACACAUUGCCAUAACAUCAUUUUUCCUUCAUGUGGUUGUCCUUAGAUUCUUUAUAAUAAAGAAUGAGACAAGAG